UAAUUGCAAAAUUAUCAAUGAAAAAGUGAUAGAAAUGAGUGUUUAUAAAUUAGAACGAAUACUAAAUAAAUUAAUCAGAAUAAAUUCAUGAAACGGUAAGUCUGUAGAUGUAUUUAGCUAUUGGAAAAUAAGAUAACCAAAACAUUAUCUUCGGUUACGUUGCUGAAUUUAAUGAUUUUGUGUUACUUGUGAUAGGUAUGGAGACUUCAUACAUCUGCCUCUAAUACUAGAAAAGAGUUUUGUUUCAAAAUAAGGCAGAAGCAUCUUGAAGAAGAGGAGGCAAAUUAAAGAAGGAUUAAUAUUCACCGCUGUGGGAAACCUCAUCGCGUACUAGAAGACAUAUUGAAAAAUGAGGUUACCAAAAAUUCAACACAAAACUAACAACAAGGUUCAGAAAAACUCUACAACUGAAGGUGAUUAAGCUGUGAAGUGUCAAUUUAAUCAGUAAAACAGGUACAAUGCCUUUUCAUUAAAGUACUAAGUAGAGGAAUAUAUCAUUUUCCAACCAAGACCUCUAAAUCUUAUAAACAAAAUGAAGCGGAGGGAUCAUGUUAUGAAAAAGGUUGAAAAACACUGCUUUAUAGGAUAGAGGGCUACCUUUUUCUUUUUUUAUUAUUUUCU